CCCCUUCUGCAACUUUGCCCAUGCCGCCACCACCACUGCUGCAACAGUGCUCUUGCCCUCACCACUAAUGCUGCCCCCUCGCUGCUGCUGCUGCUGCUGCUGCUGCUGCUGCUUUGUUGUGGCAGCAGCAUGGGUGCAGCCACAGGCAAGGGUGCAGUUGUGGUGGUGGACGGCAUGGGUGGCAGCCCAUGUGGGGGAGAAGGGAC